rnacentral:rRNA from 1 species
UACGGAAGGCAGCAGUGGGGAAUAUUGCACAAUGGGCGCAAGCCUGAUGCAGCCAUGCCGCGUGUAUGAAAAAGGCCUUCGGGUUGUAAAGUACUUUCAGUCGUGAGGAAGGUGUUAAGGUUAAUAACCUUAGCAAUUGACGUUAGCGACAGAAGAAGCACCGGCUAACUCCGUGCCAGCAGCCGCGGUAAUACGGAGGGUGCGAGCGUUAAUCGGAAUUACUGGGCGUAAAGGGCACGCAGGCGGUUAAUUAAGUUGGAUGUGAAAUCCCCGGGCUUAACCUGGGAAUGGCAUUCAAGACUGGUUAGCUAGAGUCUUGUAGAGGGGGUAGAAUUCCAUGUGUAGCGGUGAAAUGCGUAGAGAUGUGGAGGAAUACCGGUGGCGAAGCGGCCCCUGGACAAAGACUGACGCUCAUGUGCGAAAGCGUGGGGAGCAAACAGGGAUUAGAUA